rnacentral:tRNA from 1 species
GUCAAUAUGGCCGAGUGGUCUAAGGCGCUGCACUCAAGAUUAUAUCUUAUCCAGGUUAGCUGGAUUUGCAGUAUCGAAAGGUACUUGGGUUCGAAUCCCAAUGUUGACA